AAUAUGAUGGCUGUAGUGGACUAAAUCCUCGUCGUCGCUGCUGCUGCUUGUGAUUGAACAAAUUGAUCCACCAGCAUGGUUUGCAUAGACAAGUGUUUCAUAACUGAAUGACUUCUGAACACUUGUAUCCUCCAUUCCUUUCUCCGAUUCUCCUUCUUCUGAAUCAUCAUCAAGUGAAUCUGUAUCCACUGGGUAAACAUAAUUGGGAUCCUCACUUCUGACUGAGUUCCUUCCAUCACUGCUGCUUUCCUCUUCAUGAGAUACCUUCUUGUGUCGCCCAAUAGAUAAUGCCUUGAAAAAUUUAACUUUCCGCAGACCUGCUUUUAAAGAAGAACCCUCAUUUCUGUCUAUCAACAAAACGUUUCCAGGAAUUGGAGAUACUGGAGCAGACAUGAUAAACUUUGGAAUGUUCUCUGAAGCUUCGUUAGUGUUCCUCAAUUCCACAAGGUUGAGCGAUAGACAGAGUGAAAGGCAACUCUUGAAUCUGCCAACAGAGGCUUCCAAAGGAACAAAAAUUUCAAUGCCGUCUUCUUUUUCUCCAGCUAGUGAAGCAAAGUCUGCAAGGUUCAAUGUCGCAGCAGCAAGUACGGGUACCUUCUGAUCUGUUCCUUUGCUUGUACCAUUGAACACAGUAAACACAACUUCCCAAGGAUGAAAAACACCAUCUUUAUAACCUGAAAAGUUACAAACACUUAAAAAUUCCUCAUUCCAUUCAACAAUCCCCUCAUCUUCCUUUAAACACUCUUCUUUUGUAAAAUUCUUCUUUACACUUUUCCUAGUAAAAGAGCUCAAAUUCAAAGAAAUCCCCUUUGUUGAUCCCUUCCA
rnacentral:misc_RNA from 1 species